GGGUUGUUGAUGAAUCAACCACUACACGGUUACCACCCUUUAUAGCAUGCAUAUGAGAAUGCAAAGCCUUGCAUAACAAGAAAGAGGCAUUCCCUAGUUCAGGAUCUGUUCACACUUACUUGACCUUAAUUAUUAUCAUCUUUGCUAGUUAGCUUCACCUUAAUUAAUUUCUCCAAACCCUACCCUUAACCUCAACUCUAACUAUUUAAACACCUCUUCAUUUCUUUGAAAAUUCACACUUCAUUCACUCUUUAGCUUUCCUUAUUAUUUCUCAUCCCAUCCUCCCUCCCUCCCUUUGUUCUUUUGAUAAUUGCUUGACAACCAUGCACUUCUUCAAGAUUGUUCUCGUUGUCAUCGCUCUUUGCUUCGUCACUUAUCUCGGAAAGAGCAAUGCUGCCACACCAUAUGAUAUCUUCCAAUUCGUCCAGCAAUCCCCAUACGUCUUCUGCCUUGGGAAUGGAAUUUGUGGAAACCCACCAGUUCUGCGGCAUACCUUUACGACACACGGCCUCUGGCCGAGCAACUUUACCGAUCCAUCUGCAUCUAUACUCUGCGCUGGCACGCUAUUCGACAGAAAACAGAUGAAUGCUGAUCAUAAUGCAAUUACUUUUGUCCAAUUCCUGGCCCAACUUCAACAUUAGACGGACAAAUAUGGAUUUCUGGGAGCAUGAGUACAACAAGCACGGCAGGUGCUCGGACAAUAAAUUUUCCCAGACACAGUACUUCCACGAAGCUCAUAGAUUAUGGUUGACCUACAAUGCACAAUAUCUAUUUUCUCAAACAACUGGGAUUGUACCAGGACAUCAAUAUGAUUACAUCGACCUUGAAUCGGCCAUUCGACGGACUAUAGGAGGGAAAACACCUCUUCUUAUGUGCAAGUAUGAUGGGAGGAUCGUGUAUCUCCAGGAAGUCGUCAUCUGUUUUGACUACAACGCAGCGAAUCCGGUCGAUUGUGUCAGGACAACAAAUUGUGGGGCAUUGGUAUCGUAUUCACUCUAAUGGGUAUAUAUAGUGGCUGCUACAUAUAUCUAUAUUAAUGUAAUAAGAACAACAAUAUAAUGAUGAUUUCGAAUUUAUCGAUCUCACCAUUUCAUAUCCUAAGUAAAUGUUAUGUAGUACGUACAUGACCUGAUGAAUUCUGAUUAUGGUAA